UUGAGAUCCCAUGAGUAACUCCUGUAAAGAUUUCUCACAUCCAUUUUCCAAACAACUUAGAGUACUGACUUCACCCUUUUCUUUUUGAGGCUACAAAACCUUCUUGUGUUUAGGGAUUAAAAACAACCAAAAAGGUCAUCUUCUCCAUCAUCUUCCUCUCUGCAGAUAACGGUGACUGGUACAUACUUGUAUUGAGAGCGUGUUUGCUCUACGUGUUGUAGAAAUUCCUUACUUUCCUCUCAAGGAAAGUGUUGGAGGCCUGGCACAAGUACCCAGAGCACCUGUGCAAUGUCAACACAGAAGGUGCCAAAAUCUUGUCCAGAAGUACUCUUGGCUGAUGGGUAAAGGCAUGGCCUACUUUCUGUAUGAGAGUUCGAACUACAGAAUGUCAUGAGAUCCUUUCAGACUCUUUAGGAUUUGGUGGUUUUGCAGAGUUAAUUUCAGCUCUCUCUUAGGCAUGUCCUUUAUAGCUCUGGCCACUGCCCAUCACAAUGACAACCUCAUGCAGCAAUAAUGUUUAGAGAUGAGGAAAAACUCAUUCUUGCAGCCUAAAGACAGAACGAAGAGAUGUAGCUGAGCAGACCCCACACAGCAAAUACCUCCAAGCACCGCAAAGAGACUCUGCUUUCAAAGAAGAGGAAUCAUCUGUUUUGAACAGCACUUAUAUUUUUUAUUCUUCCCAGCAGUAUUUUUUUUAAAUCAAGCUAUUUUCAAAAAAGCUUCUUUAACUUUCUUUGUCUGUCAGUAAAAUUCUUUACAUGAGCAA